GUGAUAUUCAGUAUCCAGUUUUGGCUGAAGUGAAACUAUAUCACAAAAGGUAAGCUCCUGAUUAAUAUGUUAUUCGUUUUUAUUCAAUAUUUUUUGUAUUCUAGUUAAAGCUUUAUAUUUAAAUAAUAAAAAUGUAGUGGAUUUUUUUUUCUACAUACAGAUUUUAGUGUUUAUAAACGCUUACAAAAAGCUCCAAACCAUGAAGCUUUUUCAUAUUCUCUGUGUCGUGAUGGUGAGUAUGCCACUUGUCGUAACCAGUACCCAGUCGUGCCAACAUGCAGACAAAAAAAGUGGAUCUCCAGGUAAGGAUGGAUAUUAAGACUAAAAGCAUCCUCAUUUUUUUUAUUAAGG
rnacentral:lncRNA from 1 species